rnacentral:misc_RNA from 1 species
AGAAAAUGCUUCAGAAAAAAAAAAAAAGGGAAAGAAAGAAAAGAGGAAAUGUAACAAUAAAUAUCAAUGGAAUGGAAUUGGACCAAAGAUAGCUGAAGUGCACCUUCUGCAGAAUACUAUCAUAGCCCAGCCUCUCAAAGCAACGGCUUCAGUUGCAAGUUGCAAUUGCUGCAGAAAUUGCAGGAACAACAACAGUAGCAAUUACUUCCCUCUACGACCUAGCCUUUGCAGCCUCAGUUGCUACAACAACAGUAAACCAUCAACAAAACCAACACUUCAGGCAGUCACCUGUUCACAAAGGCAACCACUUGGUAGCAAUAACUGAGAGCUCGCUUUGCUUCAUGGAACCAAAAUGCAAGCUUCAAGGGAAAUUGGAUCUGCUUAAAAGGAACACUGAAAUCCUUUAGUUGAGUUAUUGCAUCCUCACCAUUUAUCGUGGUUGUGGUAGAUGAUGAUGAUCCAAAGAAAUCUAUAAUGCAAGCAUUCAAAAUAUUGAAGAAGGCAAUGAAUAUCCAAGAUUGACUGCAAUGGGAGGAAAUCAAUAUGAAACAGAAUCAUACAUGACUCAAUCUAGGGUGGAUUCAUCUAAUGAUCCCUGUGAAAGGAUAGAGGGGUAGUAGGUGUCUUCUUUUGAAGAGGAGAAUUGGUGGGGAUCUGAGGAAGAGUGGGUGGAUGAUGAGGUGUUCGAGGAGACUUGGGCAUCAGUGGUGGAUGGAGGGGCAGAUCCAUCUGAACUUCUGAAGAUCCCCUGGAAGGAUGGCAUGCAACCUGUUUCGUUUCUUGGAGAUGAGCUUUGGAGUUUCUUCCAUGGUUGUGCAUAUGUUUUUAUUCCUAGAUUCGAGAAAGAAGGGGACGGAGGAAGGGAGAUUGGGGUAUAUGUUAGUGGAGGUUAUUUUAGCCUUUUUAUUAUCAUUGACUAAUGGCAAAAACCUUUAAAAUUGAGUGGAAUGACUUUUUAAUAAAACCUAGGAAUCAUAUAAUGUAAAUGUCAAAAUAUAGAGACAAACUGUUGAUUAAUGACAAACUCUAGGGACAUUAGUUAAUUCGCCCUUAAGUUUGUCUACUCUGAAGAUAGGUUGGAUAUGCAAUUUGGGGUUUUUCUUCCUCUUUUGAAAAAUAACAUAGAAGACAAAUGCUUGGACAUAAAAGAGUCUUUUGCCUAUUUUUUAAGUAAUGAUAGGACACAAUUGAGCAGAAUGUAUACCUUAAUGGACUGAAAUUUUGCAUGUGCAAAACCUUUUUGAUAGAAAUUUUAGCAUGAUAGAAAUAUUGCAGGGAAAUUUCUAAAAAUUUUUACCACUUCUGCCUAAAAGACGUUGGAGCCGAUAUUUCCAGAUUUAAGUAUGUAAAUAAGAAUUGUGUUAUAUCCAUAUUUCGUAUUGCUUAGUCACGAGAGCAUGAAUUGUAUUCUUUAUGUGAAUGUUUCACAUAACAUGACCAUAAUUCAUGAUGAGCUUAGUAACAAACUUGGUACUUGCAAAUGCGAGGUUGUAAUUAAUUAUUUUGUGUAAAUGAAUGGCAGAUCUGAAGGAGAUUAUGGGGC